rnacentral:piRNA from 1 species
GCUUUACACUGCACUGGUUGUACCUCGGC